GUAACGGUGUCUUUAGACACCACAUUUGUCUUCAAAAAAAUUUAUU
rfam:Picea glauca, whole genome shotgun sequence.